UACAGAGGUCUCAAGCGUUGUUCGGAUUCAUUGGGCGUAAAGGGUGCGUAGGUGGCAUGGUAAGUCGGAUGUGAAAUCCCGGGGCUCAACCCCGGAACUGCAUUCGAUACUGCUGAGCUAGAGUACUGGAGAGGAGAUUGGAAUUUACGGUGUAGCAGUGAAAUUCGUAGAUAUCGGGAGGAACACCGGUGGCGAAGGCGGCCAUCUGGACGGAUACUGACGCUGAGACGCGAAAAGCGUGGGUAGCAAACAGG
rnacentral:rRNA from 1 species